GCAAAACGCGAAGAACCUUACCAGGUCUUGACAUCCUCUGACAACCCUAGAGAUAGGGCGUUCCCCUUCGGGGGACAGAGUGACAGGUGGUGCAUGGUUGUCGUCAGCUCGUGUCGUGAGAUGUUGGGUUAAGUCCCGCAACGAGCGCAACCCUUGAUGUUAGUUGCCAGCAUUCAGUUGGGCACUCUAACGUGACUGCCGGUGACAAACCGGAGGAAGGUGGGGAUGACGUCAAAUCAACAUGCCCCUUAUGACCUGGGCUACACACGUGCUACAAUGGGCGGUACAAAGGGCAGCGAAACCGCGAGGUGGAGCCAAUCCCAUAAAGCCGCUCUCAGUUCGGAUUGCAGGCUGCAACUCGCCUGCAUGAAGCCGGAAUUGCUAGUAAUCGCGGAUCAGCAUGCCGCGGUGAAUACGUUCCCGGGUCUUGUACACACCG
rnacentral:rRNA from 1 species